rnacentral:rRNA from 1 species
CCUACGGGUGGCAGCAGUGGGGAAUAUUGGACAAUGGGGGGAACCCUGAUCCAGCCAUGCCGCGUGUGUGAAGAAGGCCCUCGGGUUGUAAAGCACUUUCAGUGAGGAAGAACGCCUGGUGGUUAAUACCCAUCAGGAAAGACAUCACUCACAGAAGAAGCACCGGCUAACUCCGUGCCAGCAGCCGCGGUAAUACGGAGGGUGCGAGCGUUAAUCGGAAUUACUGGGCGUAAAGCGCGCGUAGGUGGCUUGAUAAGCCGGUUGUGAAAGCCCCGGGCUCAACCUGGGAACGGCAUCCGGAACUGUCAAGCUAGAGCGCAGGAGAGGAAGGUAGAAUUCCCGGUGUAGCGGUGAAAUGCGUAGAGAUCGGGAGGAAUACCAGUGGCGAAGGCGGCCUUCUGGACUGACACUGACACUGAGGUGCGAAAGCGUGGGUAGCAAACAGGAUUAGAUACCCCAGUAGUC